AGUGAACGCUGGCGGUAGGCCUAACACAUGCAAGUCGAACGGCAGCACAGUAAGAGCUUGCUCUUACGGGUGGCGAGUGGCGGACGGGUGAGGAAUACAUCGGAAUCUACUUUUUCGUGGGGGAUAACGUAGGGAAACUUACGCUCAUACCGCAUACGACCUACGGGUGAAAGCAGUGGAUCUUCGGACCUUGCGCGAUUGAAUGAGCCGAUGUCGGAUUAGCUAGUUGGCGGGGUACAGGCCCACCAAGGCGACGAUCCGUAGCUGGUCUGAGAGGAUGAUCAGCCACAUGGGAACGGAGACACGGUCCAGACUCCUACGGGAGGCAGCAGUGGGGAAUAUUGGACAAUGGGGGCAAGCAUGAUCCAGCCAGACCGCGUGGGUGAAGAAGGCGUUCGGGUUGUAAAGCCCUUUUGUUGGGAAAGAAAAGCAGCAGGUUAAGACCCCGCUGUUCUGACGGUACCGAAAGAAUAAGCACCGGCUAACUUCGUG
rnacentral:rRNA from 1 species